rnacentral:rRNA from 1 species
GACGAACGCUGGCGGCGUGCUUAACACAUGCAAGUCGAACGGUGAAGCUCCAGCUUGCUGGAGUGGAUCAGUGGCGAACGGGUGAGUAACACGUGAGCAACCUGCCCCUGACUCUGGAAUAAGCGCUGGAAACGGCGUCUAAUACUGGAUACGAGAAGGGUCCGCAUGGGCACUUUCUGGAAAGUUUUUCGGUUGGGGAUGGGCUCGCGGCCUAUCAGCUUGUUGGUGAGGUAAUGGCUCACCAAGGCGACGACGGGUAGCCGGCCUGAGAGGGCGACCGGCCACACUGGGACUGAGACACGGCCCAGACUCCUACGGGAGGCAGCAGUGGGGAAUAUUGCACAAUGGGCGAAAGCCUGAUGCAGCGACGCCGCGUGAGGGAUGACGGCCUUCGGGUGGUAAACCUCUUUCAGCAGGGAAGAAGCGAAAGGGACGGUACCUGCAGAAGAAACACCGGCUAACUACGU